CCUGCAACAAACACAGUAACGUCAGAUCCUUCACUCUUACGAAGUGUAGAAACAAAAAAUCUGUACGUUCCAUUGUACUGGAUAGUAACGUUCUUUAAAAUCAAUGUUGAAGGCUUUGUUAUUUUAAAUGGUCCAGGUGAGUAUUGGCGGGGGCUUUUCAACCACAUCUCCAUCUUGAAUGAUUUGAACAAAAGUGUCGUCGUCCUUUAGAAGAAAUUGUCCACGAUCGACCAAUUAAGUCAGAUACACCGACAUCAAUUUUCACGCUAUUGUCACAUCUUCUCCUGGGAAAACAACAAAGGUGACGCCACCAGGCGGAAGGGAGAUUUGACCU